rnacentral:rRNA from 1 species
CAUGUCCUUUUGAAUAGAAUUUAAGGUCUAAUCUGCUCAAUGAUUUUUAAAUAGCCGCAGUAUUUUGACUGUGCAAAGGUAGCAUAAUAAUUAGUUUCUUAAUUAGGAACUGGAAUGAAUGAUUGGACAAGAAAGCUUCUGUCUCUUUCUUAAUUUUAUUGAAUUUUAUUUUUAAGUGAAAAAGCUUAAAUUUUUAUAAAAGACGAGAAGACCCUAUAGAGUUUAAUAUUUAAUUUUAAUAAAAAGUUAGAAAACUUAUUUGGAGUUAUUUAUUUGAUUGGGGUGAUUGAAAGAUUUAAAAAAUUCUUUUAUUAUUAAAAUUGUUUAUUUACAAAUUUUAAAUCUAUAGUUUAUAAAACUAAAAUAAAUUACCUUAGGGAUAACAGCGUAAUUUUUCUUUAAAGCUCUUAUUACAAGAAAAGUUUGCGACCUCGAUGUUGGAUUAAAAUUAAUUUUUGGUGCAAUAACUUAAAAAUUAGGUCUGUUCGACCUUUAAUAUUUUACAUGAUCUGAGUUUAGACCGGUGUGAGCCAGGUCGGAUUCUAUCUUUAGAUAAUUUUUAUAUUUUAGUACGAAAGGACCAGGUAUAAGUUAAAUUAAUUG